rnacentral:rRNA from 1 species
GUCGAACGCUUCUUUUCCCACCGGAGCUUGCUCCACCGGGAAAAGAGGAGUGGCGAACGGGUGAGUAACACGUGGGUAACCUGCCCAUCAGAAGGGGAUAACACUUGGAAACAGGUGCUAAUACCGUAUAACAAUCGAAACCGCAUGGUUUCGUUUUGAAAGGCGCUUUACGGUGCCGCUGAUGGAUGGACCCGCGGUGCAUUAGCUAGUUGGUGAGGUAACGGCUCACCAAGGCCACGAUGCAUAGCCGACCUGAGAGGGUGAUCGGCCACAUUGGGACUGAGACACGGCCCAAACUCCUACGGGAGGCAGCAGUAGGGAAUCUUCGGCAAUGGACGAAAGUCUGACCGAGCAACGCCGCGUGAGUGAAGAAGGUUUUCGGAUCGUAAAACUCUGUUGUUAGAGAAGAACAAGGGUGAGAGUAACUGUUCACCCCUUGACGGUAUCUAACCAGAAAGCCACGGCUAACUACGUGCCAGCAGCCGCGGUAAUACGUAGGUGGCAAGCGUUGUCCGGAUUUAUUGGGCGUAAAGCGAGCGCAGGCGGUUUCUUAAGUCUGAUGUGAAAGCCCCCGGCUCAACCGGGGAGGGUCAUUGGAAACUGGGAGACUUGAGUGCAGAAGAGGAGAGUGGAAUUCCAUGUGUAGCGGUGAAAUGCGUAGAUAUAUGGAGGAACACCAGUGGCGAAGGCGGCUCUCUGGUCUGUAACUGACGCUGAGGCUCGAAAGCGUGGGGAGCAAACAGGAUUAGAUACCCUGGUAGUCCACGCCGUAAACGAUGAGUGCUAAGUGUUGGAGGGUUUCCGCCCUUCAGUGCUGCAGCUAACGCAUUAAGCACUCCGCCUGGGGAGUACGACCGCAAGGUUGAAACUCAAAGGAAUUGACGGGGGCCCGCACAAGCGGUGGAGCAUGUGGUUUAAUUCGAAGCAACGCGAAGAACCUUACCAGGUCUUGACAUCCUUUGACCACUCUAGAGAUAGAGCUUCCCCUUCGGGGGCAAAGUGACAGGUGGUGCAUGGUUGUCGUCAGCUCGUGUCGUGAGAUGUUGGGUUAAGUCCCGCAACGAGCGCAACCCUUAUUGUUAGUUGCCAUCAUUUAGUUGGGCACUCUAGCAAGACUGCCGGUGACAAACCGGAGGAAGGUGGGGAUGACGUCAAAUCAUCAUGCCCCUUAUGACCUGGGCUACACACGUGCUACAAUGGGAAGUACAACGAGUCGCGAAGUCGCGAGGCUAAGCUAAUCUCUUAAAGCUUCUCUCAGUUCGGAUUGUAGGCUGCAACUCGCCUACAUGAAGCCGGAAUCGCUAGUAAUCGCGGAUCAGCACGCCGCGGUGAAUACGUUCCCGGGCCUUGUACACACCGCCCGUCACACCACGAGAGUUUGUAACACCCGAAGUCGGUGAGGUAACCUUU